UACUCCCCUCUCACCUACUCUAGUUAUCCAGUAUCAGAUGCAGUUCCCAGGUUAAGCCCGGGGCUUUCACAUCUGACUUAAAUAACCACCUACGCGCGCUUUACGCCCAGUAAUUCCGAUUAACGCUUGCACCCUCUGUAUUACCGCGGCUGCUGGCACAGAGUUAGCCGGUGCUUAUUCUGUGGGUAACGUCAGGGCUUAUGGGUAUUAACCAUAAGCUUUUCCUCCCCACUUAAAGUGCUUUACAACCAAAAGGCCUUCUUCACACACGCGGCAUGGCUGGAUCAGGCUUUCGCCCAUUGUCCAAUAUUCCCCACUGCUGCCUCCCGUAGGAGUCUGGGCCGUGUCUCAGUCCCAGUGUGGCUGAUCAUCCUCUCAGA
rnacentral:rRNA from 1 species